rnacentral:tRNA from 1 species
GUUUGUAGUGUAGUGGUUAUCACGUUCGCUUUACACGCGAAAGGUCCUCAGUUCGAAACCGGGCGGAAACA